AUGAGUGGAAUUCUUUUUAUUUUUAUUCUUAUUUUAAUGUUGCUUAUGCGCGCACAUGAACAAGAUCCAGUAUUCCAACUUUUAAAGCUAAAUUCACCUUUUUCUUUUAUUCAUAAACCAAGCUUCAUUUUUUUAAUAAAAGAUUCAUUGUUUUUU